UUAUGUGAUAUUUUGCUCCACCACACGUUCCUUGCCAUGAGGGAGUCAAAGCAAUGGGGCCGAUCAAUCAUAGACUGAAACAUCUAUACCUGCGAGCCAAAAUGAACCUUUCCACUUUAGGGAAGUUCAACUAAACAGCUCAGCUUCAGCUUGGAGAGAGGUGGAACUGUAGCAAGAGUGGCUCCGAAGUGACUGGCAGCCUGGCAUGAAGGUGCACUGCAGGAGUUUAAGCCAAAAGAACAGCCUCCUACGGCUUCAAGAGAAGAGGCGCCACCUGCGUUAGGGUCUGGUGAUACUGGAAGGCUGGGUCCUGAGGUCAAACCUCCCCCGUUGGUUUGCCUUUUCCAAGGUCCAUUCAGCAAGGGGCUCGCUCCCUUUAGUAGAAGCAUCAGCUCUGCACGGUAAUAAGUUUCUCCUUCCCUCCACAGACACUGGACUGCAGGUCACUUUGGUAUGAUGACGAGACCAUCAUGAGUCCUUGCACCAUUUUUAACUUGGCCCAGUUCUUACUGUGUGUGCAGCUAGUGUCUUAGCAAACUGCCUGAAGGAGAAAGGGAGGCAACCGGAACUGUCCCCUCAGCUCAGCCCCACAGCCCACCCCAGCACGAGCCCUGACAGGUGCCACAGCCACCACCGGUGGGUAAGCGUGGAUUCACACUGAGUCAUGGGCCACAGGCAGGACAGCAGGCUGGGCUGUUUAUUGCUCUGUUUGUGCAGAGCUCUGGGAUCUUCUCGAACUGACCCCUGGAGGACAGAGGUAAUCUCUGCUAGACUCUUGAGUGCUGAGGUCCAAGGGUGACUGAAAAAGUAACAAAAACCACAAACAGGACAGAACAAUCGGAGAAGCUGCCUGGCCAUCCCAGAACUGCCUUUGUUUUGGGGAUUCCAGUCACUAGGAAUCUAGAGAUGAAAAGAGACUCUGGAGAAUUCCAGUCGGUGCCUCACACGUCAUCAGUACCGCCCAUGCCCCACCUCCCAUCAGAGGUCAUAGAACCCCCUGCCUCUCUGCAUCUGGCCGAAGGAGACGGCCCAGCCGCCAUGGGUUCUGUGCUCCUGUCCACGUCCUCAGUAAACCUGUUCGUUUUGUACUUUUUGCUUCUCUCUUGCACCAGAAUACUCUAACAGUUAAUGGCACUGUAUCUUCUGUGGGAUAAAGUGUUUUAAGCACUCGCCAUCUGUUUCCAUCCCCGUGCACAUGAGUCCCGAGUGUGUAGUAACUGAAGAAUGCACGGCGGAGCCUUCAGAGAGCUUAGCAACCAACUCGGGGAGGUUCUCAAAGAAAACCCACUUUAAUACCUGUACGCGAUUUGUUUCUAGAAAGAUAAAGUUGGAAAAUGAUUGCCAAAAACGUCAUUCAUGGGAGGAGGUAGCCCCAUAAUGGUGGCUCAAUAGUUUCCUUGUUGAUCCUGAAGCGAUCUGCACAUGUGUGGUUUCCGGGCCAGCAGGGAGGACGGCGGACUGGGACCCAGAGGACUGGCCUCUUGUUCCAGGCUGGCAUCUGAUGGACACUUGGGUGUUGGUCAAAGGACUCCACUUCCCUGGGACUUGGUUUCCUCUCCUAGAGAGCAAGGGACUUACAGGCGAUGGCCAGGGGCUUCACUUAGCUUCGUUAUGUGCCAGCACUCAAAUCGCACUUUCUGGUUAUUAAUUUUGGAAAGGUCCAUGACCGUGCAAGCUCAGUCCUGAAGAAAGCACUUCCUAGUCUUGUGCUUUUAGCCACCACUGGGCCUUAAUUAAAGUAGCUGUUAAAACCAAUGACAAGAACAGCUCUUCCUUGCCCCAGGCCCAAGGACAAAUGACUGUUUGCAAAGCUGCAAAGGCCCUAAUUAGAGAGAGAGUUCGCACUUGGGUGUGAUGCAGACCAGAUUGUUUACAGCGGAGAAUGUCAGGGAGGCUGGAUUGCAGUGUAGACACCACCAGAGACAGCAGAGGACUCAACAUCUCAGGCAAAACUGGCAGGCUUGGGGCUGGGUAAUCAGAAAAACAAGCGGGGUUAUUUUCCUUGGAGGGACUCAGUUUCAUUAACAAGUUCAUCUGGAGAGCUAAAGAGCUCCCUGGAUCAGGUACAGCUCCUGGGGUACAGCUCCGCGGUAGGGUGCUUGCCUAGGAUCUGUGAGGCCCUGGGUUCCAUCCCCAGCAGCAAGAGUAACCCACAGGAACAGAGGUGUCAGGACCCACAGGAGUCAGGACUGGCAGGGCCUCACAUCAGGAGAGCUAAUUAGGCAGGAACUGCCCCCCCCCCAAGGUUUCCCCUUUGAAGUGGGGGAGGGGAAGAAUAAAAUGCAAAAAUCCAGCCUAGAGGAACAGCAGGCUGGUGAGACUUUGCUUUCUAAUCCUUUCCUCUUAUUACCAUUAGAAAGCCAGACCAGUCAAAGCAAACAUAAAAUGUACCUUACUGGAGAGGACAAGGGAGAAAGGCAUGAUUUAAAGUCUUCCUCUUGGGACUGGGAUAUGUCGCUGUUCGGAAAGUAAAUGUGAAGGAUGGUAAGCGCUCAGCAAAGAUCACAAAGGGACUGGUGGGGCGGGAAGGAAGUGAGCCACAGCAAAGGCCCAGUCACACACUGUGGGUCACCAGGAUUAGGUUUGUGCUCUUUUUUCUGUGGUUCUGAGGAAAACAGCAACCACCGGAGCCACUUUAAGAACAACAAACGAAAUUCUCCCGUCUGGUCUCAUAAUCACGAGUCCUUUCAAACCUCAGAUGGGAUUUCUCCAGUUAAUCACUAGCCCUGCCUUCAGUUGACUUUGAGUCACUUUCCGGAAAACCGAGAGCAUCCACAAAUUUUCAGAACUGAGAAUAUUUGAAAGGACCAGGCCAAUGUCCUUUGGUUCAGGUCUGGAGAGGGCUGGGAAGCUUGGAAGAGGAGCAGUACCUUUUUAUGCAUCAGUCCAUGGUCCUCUGUUGAAGAGGAGAGAAAUUUGGACACGGGAGCCCCGGCCUGCUCAUGUAAAAAUAUCUGUUGCUAUGUGCAAAAGUCUCAUUGGGUGGAUGGCGUGGCAAUCAUUUAAAAAUGAACUACACAUAGUAGAAAAAAAGGCUAAGACAAAAUAGAUUUACAUGUCACAGAGUUCGGAUUCUCCUUUAUUGGAUUCUCUCUGCAGAAAGGGGCCCCCAGACCCCAGAGCUAUCAACUCCCCAUCCCUCAGAUGCCUCUGGACCCUGAUGAUAAAUCCCUGGGAGGCCUCAGAUCAGGAAAGGGACACAUCGGUGGGGUGGGACAGUAGUGCUCCUGAGCUUCUAGGAAAUUCUGCCUGCAGCGGUGGGGUGAGCUGAGCAUCUGAUAAUGGAAACGGAGAGGACACUGCAGAAUUCUACACCCCAGAGCUAGUGCAGCACGUGUCGGAACCCAGCUCUGGAAGGAGGCAGGCAAGAUGAGAGGCCCCUGCAGCCUAGGGUUCCACGUUGCUCCCUGAGUACAAGCGAAUGUGGAAAUUAUCCCCCUGACAAGGAAGAUGGUUCCUGGAGAGGACAUGAGCUCAGAGGUGUCUCCAGGGAAGGCACAGUGGGUGAUGGUCCUGGGGCCUGGAAGGGAACAUUUCCUGGAGGGAAGCAGAUUAGGCUUUUCCUAGGUCACCAAGAGAAGAAAGAAGCCAAGUUACGGGUUCUGAAAGCAAAGACAUGGGUCAAAGGAGCCCACUGGGCUGCUAAAAGGACAGAGAAAGGAAUAGACAGCAGCCAGCCAGCCCACUAUACCUGAGCUCUGUUCGACCUACACAUUUACCCAGUGGAUUCUGAAAGAGCCAAUGGAAUUCCCGGCCUUGCGAGCGCUGCUGCGAGGGCAGGUGGCUUGUUGCUGUAGUGAGAGCCUGGGUACUGCCAGGAGGCAGAUGUGAGAUUCUGUUUUGAACCUUGGUCUUGAUGCUCUGUAAUCUCAGCCAAGUUACUCUUUUUUUAAAAAGAGGAUAAAAUAGAAUAAAAUCAAUCAAAACAAACCAGUGUAAGAGAUAAAGGACUUCAAAACAUUAUGAAAUCAACAUUAGUUAAUAUAAUGCCUUUGGAUGUCUUCAAAAAUAGCUGCAGAUAACUUUGGACACAGUAAAAAUCAAACAGAACAGAAUAGAAUAGAAUCAAUAAAAACAAAACAAUGAAUGCAAUAAAGGACUUCAAAACAAUCCUAUAGGAAAUCCAUAAUAUAGCUUGCUAUCUUUGAAACAGCUGCUCCUGCCAUCAGAUUUAACAUAAUCAAGCCAAACAAAAGAGAAUAAAACCUAACCCAAUAAAACAAUGGAAAUGAUACAGGACUACCAAAAUAAGACCAUAGGGAAUCAACAAUGGCUGUAACCCUCAGAAGGGGAUCCCCCUAGAUGCCACACUGCGUACUGCUAUCCUCUGAACAUAUGAUCAGCCCACUGGCCCUAGACCUGUAAUGUUAGUGAAACCUCAAAGCACCACAGGCAUCCAACUGCAUUUCACCUCCGUAGCUACCAUCACAGCCUGUGUUUCUCCCGAUAAGCCAGUCACUUAUGCAUGGUGGGGUGAUAUUGGUGAUACUUCAUGUAUUGCCAGUCCGUGUGCCAGAAGGGGCUGGGGUCUGGCUGUUUCCAGUUUGGUGGCAGCCCACACAUGGUGCUGGUUCCCAGACUGGGCUUGUUUGCUGGUGUGCCUUUGCUCUCUCUCCUCAGCCAAAGUACUCUCCAAAGCUUGGUGUCCUCAGUGCCACUAUGGAGCGAUGGCCCUUCCUUUGUGGCUGUGUAGGGUGCUUUACGGGAGGCAUCGUGUAUGGAAAAGCUGUGACAGCCUUUUCUGGGGUGCUUUUUGAAUUUUUGUUUGUUUGUUGGACAUGGAGCCUAGGGCCUCACACAUGCCAGUCCUAGUUCUCUACUCUUGAUGCCACUUGGCCUGGUGGAUAACACAGGAGACAGAGCCCUGCUGGAGGCAUUCAGGACAAUACUGAGGUCUUGACUAAGAAACACUCGCUACUGGGAAGUCGGACCACAGCAGCAAAUUCAAGCUGUGUCUUACUGGCCGUACUGUGGAAUUAUUUAGCAGAGCUAAUGGAGUGAAAUGUCCUUGGAGUAUUCCAGCUUCUCAUCUCUAUUUGAUUGAUAUUAGAAUAUGAUCUCAAGUUGAUGGUAAUGAAGAAUCAAAGAAUCACAUCAACUUAAUAGAGAUAGUUUGGGUGGCUGGAGUCAAAACGACCACUUCUGCUGGUCUCUCAGUGACACUGAAUAUAUGGAUAUAGGUUGAGCUGUGCAUAACAUUAGGUUGCAACCACCUGUCCCAUACUUUUUUACUUUAAAUGUAUAUUUAGCAUAAUAGUGGCCAAUUGUGUCUCUCAGUAGCUGUGCCUAGGAGAUACAGGCAACAAUUUUUAUGUUUACCCUCUCGGUAUGAUGAACAGCAAGGUGCGUGCAUGUGUGCUGGGACUGGGAUUUUUACCCACAUAUUGCUUCAUCUAAUAAGUUUUGCACACGUUUGGCUGAGCAUCACAGCAGGUAAAAUACACCCACAUCACUCUUCUGUUCUGUAAGCACCAUAAAUGGAAUGUGAGUGUGACUCCUGGGGAAAGGAAAAACCCAUCUGUGCAUUCACCCACUCAGCGAGGAGUGCCAAGGUAUACACAGGAGAUCCAAGCAGCAACAGGUGAGUUUUACCCUUGAAACACUCAUUGCCAAAUUUCAUCUACGACUUUUUUUUUUUUACAAAGCUAGCUUAAGAUUUUUCUCAUAGAAGUAGCUCAGUUUAGAACAAUGGCACAGGAAAAACCAGAUUUGCAAGUUUUGGAGGUCAAAAGUGAAUCAUCAGAUCAUUCAUGCAUGGAUGAGAAAGAUGAUGAUGACUUUGACAUUGACCACGUGAGCCAGAGUUCUUAUGGCAGUGAAAUGGAGCAAGAAUCGACUGAUACAGAUGCAGGGAAUGAAGACCUCCUCGAUUCAGAUGUCGAGGAAAACAACAGCGUGAGUACGUAUUUGACAAGUAGAAAUGGUACAAAACGGUCAUGCAACCAAAUGGGAAAGUCCAAUGUUAGUACUAGGUCCGAAAAUAUAAUGGGGAUUUUGGCAGGAUGAAAUUGUAUUGGACAGAAUGCCAGCACUACCACUCAGUGUUGGAGAUUGUAGCAGAUGAAAUGCUGCAAAGUGUUGUGAAAUACACAAACACUGAAAUACAAGUAAGACGUGCUUUAUGCACCAAUAGCCAUAUAAAAAUGUAUUAACCAUGACACUCACCAGCUGAAGUGAAAGCAUUUAGAGGUUGACAGUGCUUCCAGAAGUUUCCAUUGGGAAUCACAGGACCGUGAAGGACUUAUGGAAAAGUGAUAGGUGUGGGCUUCAGGUUUCCAGAAUAACAAAGACGCUGAGGACAUUUGUUUCCUUCAACAUUGCCUGAGGUUUGGUAACGAAUCACAUACCAAGAAAGAAAAAGAGCUGACAAUCUGGUUGCUAUCCGCUCCUGGUUUGAGGGAUUUGUGGAUGAGUGGUAAGCAAUUUACACACCCUCCAAAUACAUGAUUACUGAUGGACAUCUUGCAGGAUUUUGUGGUCACUAUAGCUUCAGGCAAUAUAUUCCCAAAAAAGUUUCAAAACAUGGCCCCCAAAAUGUAUUCCUUUAUAGUUGAAAAGACUCAUUAUAUUUCCCUUUGUAAAUUUAUCCUAGAACUCAGCAACCAGGUACUUAUUAAUAUAGUAAUAAACCAAAUGAACCCAUGAACAGGAUUCUUGUUCUUGUCUCCUAAACUAAUCAGAAUUUGAUAUUAAACAAUUGGUUUACAAGUUUCCAACUGAUGUUACAUUUUCUAGUGGGGCACAAGUUGACCAGUGUAGGAACUGUACAGAAAAACAAAGCAGACAUUCCAAAUGAAUGUUGCAAUUUCAGAACAGAGAGUUGUAGUACAAUCUUUGGACUUCAGAUACAUAACAUUGCCUUUGUAUAUAGCAAAGAAAAACAACUGGUAGUGAUGUCAACAUUGCACCAUAAUGGAAACAUUGAUAGGGAAACUUCAAAGAAGUGGAAGCCUGAGAUGGAAACUUUCUAAAAAAUAUCAAAGGCAGAGGAGAUGUUGACUAGUUAUAUGGCAAUUAUGACGUCACAUGAAAUACAAUGAAUUGUCAGUGGUAAUGUUUUGCUCAACCCUAAACAUGUGUGGCAAAAAUAGUUCAAUAGUUCACUAAGAAAAUACCAAGUGUGAUGGGGCAGCAAGAUGGCAGGUAGAUAAAUAGCAAGGUAAAGAACCUCUCUGAGAGAAACAGCUCAGAUGCUAGAAUUUAAUAGCAAGGAGAAGACCAGAUGAAAGGAAAGGGAUUCUCACAACCCAGGAAGAAACUAAGGAAAAAGACAAGAAAAACGUGGAUGGAAGGCUGGAAUGAGAUGAGCUUUCACUGUAGUCGGUCAGACUCGAGAUCAUGGCGCUCUCACCAGAGCUGGUCUGACUUGUGGUCAUGCUGAAGGGAGGGGUUGGUGAACCCAAGGACCUUGGUGAGAGGAUGUGUUGCAAUGGACAACCGAGCAAGCAUGGAGAUCUGCACUGACCCUCGGUGAGUGCUGGAAUUUGGUCCUCCCCUGGGUGGGGGAGACCGGCUGGGCAACUUCUUGGAAUCCGGAAGGAUAGACCUGAACUCAGAACUGUAGUAACUUCAGUUGGCCGCUCCUGGUGAGGAACAGAUUGGUGAAAAUGGCUUGGACUGGGUCUCGCUCCUGAGUGGGACCUAAUAGCCAGGGACGAACUUGCCCCUGAAGUUGUCCUGAACCAGUUCCGUCCAGCAGCACACAUUAAUAUGGUGAAGACCCCCAGAAAUGUGGAAAGACCCCCAGAGGUUGACUAGCUCAGAGGGAAGGAACCAACCUGCACUGCUCCUGCUCGUACCUCAGUGAUCAACAACAAACUGGAGAGGGCAGCAAUCCCUAGCCAGCACGCUUCAGAGUAACUGUAACCCAUACAGAAAGGGCCUGGGACCUCCACUAUAUACCUGUCUGUAAAAAACUAGAAACAUAACAAGAGAAAGAAACAAGAAAAAGUGUCCAGCUGCCAACUCAGGGAAUAUGGGUCCAGGAGUAUUGUAAACCCAAAAAUUCAGGUUCAGUCAUCCAAGUAUUGUAAUCUUCUUUCUAGUUUUCCUUUUAAUCCAAAAAGUUAUAUUUGUAAUCCCAUUGAGACAUUAUUGGAAUUCCAGCCCGUCAGUUCCAAUCUACCACCACCAACCCAACCCACAGCGAGAGUAAAAACACCAAGACAUAUUCCAAGUUAAGGGCACCCAAGGGGACCCAAGUCCAUUUCCGGUGAGGACAUGUGGACAAAGGCCACAAUCCUAGGCCUCUCCCUGCAUUUAUUAUUUUGUGAGGAAAAGGGGGGCGUCACUAGGGAUGAGUGAUAGUCAGGAUGUCGGGGAUUGCUGAGUAACUUGGGCUGGCUGGCUAGGUGUAAGAAUGGCAUCCCUGUAAUUUGCAGAGAUAAAGACAUGCAGAAGAUCAAUUUACACAACCUGAUUAAGGUAGCAGGGGAAAUGUUUUGGGGUGCUGUUGCUUCGGUUUUUGAUAUGCAAACUCUUGUGCCCUGGGGAGUCAUAACCUCUUAUCUUGAGGCUCCUUCCCAGUUGACAUCCCCAGAGUCUGAUCUGCAUCUUGCCAGCUCAAUCUUUUAAUGUGGAGAGUAUUAUUGAGGAAGGGCUGUCUGAUGGCCAGACUUUGCAUAUUAACACCUCAGCUAGCCUUAUUUGCAAUGCUUAGAGCCAAUUGAGGAGAGAAGGAAAUACGCUAGCCAACGUUUCACAUAUCAGUAUAAGGAAAUGAGUUCUCAAGUAAUCAAAGUCACAGCAUUUGUUUUGGAUUCAAAGGGAGUCACCAGAGUUGUCUCACAUCAGUGAUACUGCACAUUAGCACCUGGGCUAGCCUUGUUUGCCAUGCUCAGAGUUAAUUGAAGUUUGCCAUGCUCAGAGUUAAUUGAAGAGAAGGAAAUACCCUGCCACUUUUUUACGUAUCAGUAUAAGGAAAUGAGUCUCCAAAUAUUCAAAGUUACAGUAAUUGUUUUGGAUUUAAAGGGAGACACUGGAGUUGUCUCCUACACAGGAGACGUAAACACAGAAGAGAUCAAGAGGAGCAAACAUGCAAUAUCAUGGUUUAUGUCUGUGGCCCCCAGGCCUCAUGAGUUUGCAUUGUGCAUUUGUGAUUGGUUCAUUGUCUAGUGCUUGGAUUGAUAGUGUCAGUGCUCCACCCACAUAGGGGUGGAGCCAGGAUGUGAUGUAAUGGCAGGAAGAAGGUGUGUCUUGCUCUUUGCUGGUUCCUGCUUGCUGUUUGCAGCCACCAUAAACUGCAGCCCAGCCAUGCCCGCCUGCCUUGGAGCCAACUGAGUGUGGACUAAAACCACCAAAAACUGUAAGAAAUAAACCUUUCCUUUCCCAAAAUACCUUUGGCUUCAGGUAUUUUGUCUCAGCAACAAGUAAAGAGUAACUAAGAUAAAAUUUGGUACUGGGAGUGGGGCUGUUUGCUGUGACUAUACCUGGCCAUGUUUUUCAAGAGGUUUUGGAAAUGGCUUAUGGCCAGAGUUUGGAAAGGUUCGGACAUGUUGCCUGGAUGCAUAGAGCUGGAGCAGCUUAGGCUGUUCUGUAGAGGAGAUUCUAGUCAGAGAUCAGGAGACCAGAGGCUGAUAGAAAGUCUGAUGGUAAAGACCAGGUUUGGGAGGUUUCUUCUGGGAAGAAGGACUGCAUUGGUUGUUGGACUCCCCAUGAUGUAUGUUAUGGGCUGGCAGAAAGUUUGUCUGCAUUUUGCUGCUGCCCAUAGACUUUGCCUGAGACUGAGACAAAGGGAAAUGGACUGAUUAAUCUCAAAAAAGAAAUUAAAAAGCAAUCAAAUAUUGAGUCUGUGGCGUGGCUAUUGUUGGGGGCUUUUAGCCAGCUUUAUGUUGCAAAUCAAGGGCAAAGAGCCCAGCAGGAUAAUUUAUAAUGCUGUGAGUUCGGCCAAAAAAAAAAAAAAAAAUUCCAGGAAGGCUGUGGAUUGUAAAGGCAGAGUUGAGAUUUUGAUUGUUGAGGGGAAACAGAAAGAUAAAAAAGAUGGCCCUGGGGCACCCCAGGAAAUGGGUCCCCACCCUUUGCAGCCUCACUGCAAAGAUGAAAAGAAUUUGCUCAGAGGAGAAGGCUGCAGAGCACCAUGCUCCAAAAUGGCGACAGAGGCCACAUGAGGUUCCAAAAUGGCGGCAACAUAGAGAAGCUUUUCCUCACAAUCAGGUAAAUAGAGCCCUGCAAUCCAGGCAACUGACCCCUACAGCCAAGAGAGAGAAAAGCUUGGCUACUGCUUCAGCUGGCAGCAGACCUUGGCAGCAUCCACAAGGUGCUGAUUUUAAAUGCAAGAAAAAUGCAUGAAUUCUGAGGGUAAGACGGCGUCCACCUCAAUUACAAAGGGCCUGGGAGGCCAAGCAGUAUGCCCCUGAGAGGGCAAUUUGUGAAGAAGUAAAUGUGAAGCCAAAGGUGCAGUAGAGACCCCAGAAGUUUGGAAAAGCCAAGAACAUGGAUGAUCCAAGAAAAGCUGCAAAAAGUGAGCAAAGAGGAUUUAAGAGAAAAGCUGUGGGAGUUAAAAUCGCCAGAGGUGCCACGGGGGUGGAAUCACCCAAGCCUUUUGGAGCUUGCAACCAGAUUGCUUCAGAUGCUGAGCAUGGAACUCCAGGACUUAAUGUUUGUCCUACUGGAUGUUAGACUUGCUUUGUUUCCAACGCUUUAUAUUUCCCUGUUUGUAACUUUUGGAAUGGUAAUGUUUAUCUUUUGCCUUUAAAUUUCAGAAAUGUUUAACCUUGUUUCAUUUGUACAGGGGGUUACAGUUAAGAGUUUACCAUAGAUCUUGGAGGAGACUUGGGACUUGGACUAUUUGGCAAUGCUGAAAUUGUUAGGAGUUUGGCAACUCUUGGAGGUGGACUAAAUGUCUUUUGUAUAAAGGAUGUACAUGAGUCCUGGGGGCCAGGGGUGGAAUGUCAUGGUUUAUGUCUGUGGCCCCCAGGCCUCAUGAGUUUGCAUUGUGCAUUUGUGAUUGGUUCAUUGUCUAGUGCUUGGGUUGAUGAUGUCAGUGCUCCACCCACAAAGGGGUGGAGCCAGGAUGUGAUGUAAUGGCAGGAAGAAAUGUGUCUUGCUCUUUGCUGGUUCCUGCUUGCUGUUUGCAGCCACCAUGAACUGCGGCCCAGCCAUGUUCGCCUGCCUUGGAGCCAACUGAGCAUGGACUAAAAGCUCCAAAAACUAUAAGAAAUAAACCUUUCCUUUCACAACUUUGGCUUCAGGUAUUUCAUCUCAACGAGUAAAAAGUAACUAAGAUAUGCAAUAUAGGACAUGGCAUCAGCUGACAUAAAGAAAUAUCUUCAUGACAUUAUAGAAAAACUCAAAACAAAAGUACUAAUACAACUAAAACAAGAUAUAAGAAGAUUAAUAAAUGAAAUGCUAAACACCUCUCAGGAAGACACAGAUGGAAGAAUAGAGAAGCACAGAAAAAGGAGGGAAACCUCCGAUGAAGAAUAUUUUAAAAAUCUGGAAUACACAAAACAGAUUCAAAGAGAUUACCAGGAAAUUAAAAACUCCAUUGAAAGCUGGCAGAAAUGCUUGAAAGAAACUAAAGAUAGACUAUCAAAAGUUGAAAACAGGUUUGCAGUGUGUGAUCGUGAAACAAAAGAUCUCUUUAAAGUAACAAGGAAAUAGGAAAUAAAAAUACAAAGGCUAGAAAACAACAAGAGGAUCUAUAACUUAAGAAUAAAAAAUGUGAGAGAAGAAGCAGGAGUAAACACAAGGGAAAUACAAAGGCUAUUCACAGAAAUAAUUAAGGAAAACUUCCCAAGCAUGGGAAAAGGAAAUGAUAUUCAGAUAUAUGAAGCAUACAGAACUCCAGCCAGCUACAACCAAAACAGAGCUACACCCAGGCAUGUAAUAAUCAAGAUGCCAGAAAUUCAAUACAAGAACAGAAUAUUAAAAGCUGUCAGAGAAAAGAAACAGAUUGCCUAUAAAGAAAAUCCAUCAGAAUCAUGGCAGACUUCUCGACACAAAUAAUCAAAUCAAGAAGAGCUUGGAGCUACAUAUUCCAAGCCCUGGAAGAAAAUAAGCUCCAAACCAGAUUGAUGUAUCCUGCAAAACUAUCUCUCAAAAAUUAAUAGAGAAACAAGAUGCUUCCAUGACAAAGAGGAACUGGGGGAAUUCAUGACCACUAAUCCAACUCUACAAAAAAUACUGAAGGACAUUCUAGAGAGAGAGAGAGAUAAAAAAAAAAAACACCAGGAUUUCAGGAACAGUGGCAGAGGGCGCUCACUGAAUGGGGCAGACAGUAGAAUGAAGGGGAAAAGUAGACCACCAAUGACAGAAAAAUAGCAUGGCAGAGACGAGGCAGAGAAGGUUGGCUAUAAUCUCUAACAUAGAUGGCCUUGAUACACUAACAAAAAGAAACACAGGCAGAGUAGAUCAGGAGAUAGGGUCCAUUGAGAUGCUCUGCAUAGGAAAUAGAAUCAACCUGAAAGAGGGUUUAUGAACUGGAAGUCAAAGAUGAGAAAAUAAUGCCCUAUGUGACAGAGAACCAGAGAGAAAUAGGAACAGCUUACCCAGCAGCUGCAGAUAGAUUGGAAAGUCAUGACACUUUUGUGCAGUGGAGAACUACUCAGCUGUAAGGAAGGAAAACCUUGAGGCUUUAGUAGGUAAAGGAAUACGGCCCAAUAUCAAGCUCAGGGGUAAAAAGUUUCAGAACCACUUAGGUAAAUAGUGGGUUGCCUCCCUAAUCUAAAAGCUACAGGGGUUAAUGGGAUCCAAAAUGUACAAUGCACCCUGUGAAAGUGAAAGGGGAGGAACUGUCUAAAAGAGGAAGGCAAAGGACAUUGUUAAUAGUGUAUCAUGAUUUAAAAACCACAUUGUUCUCAUUGCUCUGUUUAGUUUGGUUAUAUUCUGUUCCAGUCGGUCUACUUGUACUCAACUUGAGGGCACAGAAAGCUAUUCCAAAAAUAGCAGGAUAUACUACAGUAAUCAUCCUUGAUUUCUUAUUAACUUAACCUGAAGCCCUGUAUUACUUACACUGUCUUAUUAUGACUGAUCUUAUUUGAAUCUGGUUUGUUAGAUCACUGUCUGGUCUUGACUGAAUUUAUCUGAAUCUGUUACAUUUGAUAGUAUCCAGUCUGAGAGUAUAGGCAACUACUCUGAAGAUGGUAAGAUUCACUAGGAUACCCAUUCUGAUUUGACUAUUACCUGCUUUUGAAGUCCUACAAUGUGUCCAAUGUUUUGUUUUUAUGGAUAUUGUUCUGUUCUGUACUGCUAUGUUCAAUUUAACUAUGCCUGAUGAUAUAGACAAUUCUAUUAAAGAUAACAAGAGACAUCAUAGUAACCAUUAUAGAUCACCUAUUGUAUUGUGGUUUUAAUCAUGUGCUGUGUCCAUCCUUUUGUUUUGAAUGAUUCUGUUUUGUGUCCUUUCUCAUUUGGUUUUGUUCUUUUCAAAAUAAAAUUUAAAAAAAUAAAAUAGCACUAAAAAUAACAAGUGCAAAAUAUCACAGAUUUUCUUAGAAGAUUGGGAUUGGAACUCAUAUGAGACCAUUUACAGCAGAGGAAAAACAAAAGGUUUCUGCCCAGGGGACUAUAGAAAAAUACUGUGGUGCACACUGGAAAACAGACAGGUGAACAGGCAGGCACAGCAUCACAAGGUCCUACAAUGACAACAGGAAAACAUAAAUGACGUAACUGUGCUCUGCAGGAAAGGACAGGAAAACAAACACAUGUGCUCUCCGUGUUAGCGAUGCUUGUGUGUGGGACUGCCUCGGCUGUGACUGUCGAAGUGAAGAUUAUUUCUGUGGUGGACUUUUGUUUGUAUUUACAUUGGAGUUCACAUAAGAUUUUUUUUUCCAAUGUUAUCUUUUAGGUUUUGUAAGCAAGUACACAGCUUUAUGUGAAAAUGUUAUUAUUUAUUCUGAAUGCACAGUAUAUAUGAUGAAUUUAAUACUUUAUUUGAUUGAUAUGUUAUGUUCCUGUUAACUACACAUUGUAUAAGAUGAUAAGACCCUCCUGACAAAAUAGCAAUUCCUGCCAGCAAGAUGGCAAGUAUGUCCUACAAAAAGGCCAAGAAAGCAAAAGAUGUGAGCAGUCAGUGGAAGCCAUGCAUGUGUCAGGAAUGUCCUGUUGUCAUGUGUGAGUCUGAUUGAUUUUUGCAGAGUGCUAUCAGGGGGGUAGUUCAUAUAGGAAUUUAUUUGUGUUGUUAUUUCUUUAGAUUUUGUGCCCAAAAAAAGUUAAUGUUGAAAAGUUUGAUACUGUUGUAUAAUCAUUCAAUAAAUAUUAAAAAUUCAAUACCUUGUUUUUCCCA